CACCGCGGUUAUACGAGAGGCCCAAGUUGAUAAGCCCGGCGUAAAGAGUGGUUAUGGAACCCGCCCCCACUAAAGCUAAAGAGCCCCUAAGCUGUUAUACGCACUUGGAAGCUUGAACCCCUGAUACGAAAGUAGCUUUAUCUUCUCCUGAACCCACGAUAGCUGGGGCA
rnacentral:rRNA from 1 species